rnacentral:rRNA from 1 species
AGAGUUUGAUCCUGGCUCAGGAUGAACGCUGGCGGCGUGCCUAAUACAUGCAAGUCGAGCGAACGGACGAGAAGCUUGCUUCUCUGAUGUUAGCGGCGGACGGGUGAGUAACACGUGGAUAACCUACCUAUAAGACUGGGAUAACUUCGGGAAACCGGAGCUAAUACCGGAUAAUAUUUUGAACCGCAUGGUUCAAAAGUGAAAGACGGUCUUGCUGUCACUUAUAGAUGGAUCCGCGCUGCAUUAGCUAGUUGGUAAGGUAACGGCUUACCAAGGCAACGAUGCAUAGCCGACCUGAGAGGGUGAUCGGCCACACUGGAACUGAGACACGGUCCAGACUCCUACGGGAGGCAGCAGUAGGGAAUCUUCCGCAAUGGGCGAAAGCCUGACGGAGCAACGCCGCGUGAGUGAUGAAGGUCUUCGGAUCGUAAAACUCUGUUAUUAGGGAAGAACAUAUGUGUAAGUAACUGUGCACAUCUUGACGGUACCUAAUCAGAAAGCCACGGCUAACUACGUGCCAGCAGCCGCGGUAAUACGUAGGUGGCAAGCUUUAUCCGGAAUUAUUGGGCGUAAAGCGCGCGUAGGCGGUUUUUUAAGUCUGAUGUGAAAGCCCACGGCUCAACCGUGGAGGGUCAUUGGAAACUGGAAAACUUGAGGGCAGAAGAGGAAAGUGGAAUUCCAUGUGUAGCGGUGAAAUGCGCAGAGAUAUGGAGGAACACCAGUGGCGAAGGCGACUUUCUGGUCUGUAACUGACGCUGAUGUGCGAAAGCGUGGGGAUCAAACAGGAUUAGAUACCCUGGUAGUCCACGCCGUAAACGAUGAGUGCUAAGUGUUAGGGGGUUUCCGCCCCUUAGUGCUGCAGCUAACGCAUUAAGCACUCCGCCUGGGGAGUACGACCGCAAGGUUGAAACUCAAAGGAAUUGACGGGGACCCGCCAAAGCGGUGGAGCAUGUGGUUUAAUUCGAAGCAACGCGAAGAACCUUACCAAAUCUUGACAUCCUUUGACAACUCUAGAGAUAGAGCCUUCCCCUUCGGGGGACAAAGUGACAGGUGGUGCAUGGUUGUCGUCAGCUCGUGUCGUGAGAUGUUGGGUUAAGUCCCGCAACGAGCGCAACCCUUAAGCUUAGUUGCCAUCAUUAAGUUGGGCACUCUAAGUUGACUGCCGGUGACAAACCGGAGGAAGGUGGGGAUGGAGUCAAAUCAUCAUGCCCCUUAUGAUUUGGGCUACACACGUGCUACAAUGGACAAUACAAAGGGCAGCGAAACCGCGAGGUCAAGCAAAUCCCAUAAAGUUGUUCUCAGUUCGGAUUGUAGUCUGCAACUCGACUACAUGAAGCUGGAAUCGCUAGUAAUCGUAGAUCAGCAUGCUACGGUGAAUACGUUCCCGGGUCUUGUACACACCGCCCGUCACACCACGAGAGUUUGUAACACCCGAAGCCGGUGGAGUAACCUUUUAGGAGCUAGCCGUCGAAGGUGGGACAAAUGAUUGGGGUGAAGUCGUAACAAGGUAGCCGUAUCGGAAGGUGCGGCUG